UCCGCAUUAGUCCAGUUGGUUAGGACGCCAGGCUCUCAUCCUGGUAACCCGGGUUCGAAUCCCGGAUGCGGAG